rnacentral:rRNA from 1 species
ACACGUGGGUAACCUGCCUGUAAGACUGGGAUAAUUCCGGGAAACCGGAGCUAAUACCGGAUAGUUCCUUGAACCGCAUGGUUCAAGGAUGAAAGACGGUUUCGGCUGUCACUUACAGAUGGACCCGCGGCGCAUUAGCUAGUUGGUGGGGUAAUGGCUCACCAAGGCGACGAUGCGUAGCCGACCUGAGAGGGUGAUCGGCCACACUGGGACUGAGACACGGCCCAGACUCCUACGGGAGGCAGCAGUAGGGAAUCUUCCGCAAUGGACGAAAGUCUGACGGAGCAACGCCGCGUGAGUGAUGAAGGUUUUCGGAUCGUAAAGCUCUGUUGUUAGGGAAGAACAAGUGCGAGAGUAACUGCUCGCACCUUGACGGUACCUAACCAGAAAGCCACGGCUAACUACGUGCCAGCAGCCGCGGUAAUACGUAGGUGGCAAGCGUUGUCCGGAAUUAUUGGGCGUAAAGGGCUCGCAGGCGGUUUCUUAAGUCUGAUGUGAAAGCCCCCGGCUCAACCGGGGAGGGUCAUUGGAAACUGGAAAACUUGAGUGCAGAAGAGGAGAGUGGAAUUCCACGUGUAGCGGUGAAAUGCGUAAAGAUGU